UUUCCGUAGGUGAACCUGCGGAAGGAUCAUCAUUGAACCUCUAAAUAUCAACCAAACACCUGUGUGAACAGUUCGGGGGCUGGGAGGAAGGAUCUUCGGAACCUUCAGCCCGCCUUCCUUUUUUUCCCCUCCCAUAGGGAAGAAAACGAAAAAACCCCUUCUUCACCUCUUGAUUUUACUUUUUGACAGAAAUCCAAAUGUUAUCGCAAGAUAACGCUUGAAAAACAAAAAGACAACUUUUAACAACGGAUCUCUUGGCUCUC
rnacentral:misc_RNA from 1 species